UACGAAGGGUGCAAGCGUUACUCGGAAUUACUGGGCGUAAAGCGUGCGUAGGUGGUGAGUUAAGUCUGUCGUGAAAGCCCCGGGCUCAACCUGGGAAUGGCAGUGGAAACUAGGGGACUGGAAUCUGGCAGAGGGGGGUGGAAUGCCGCGUGUAGCAGUGAAAUGCGUAGAGAUGCGGCGGAACACCGAUGGCGAAGGCAGCCCCCUGGGCUGAGAUUGACGCUCAGGCACGAAAGCGUGGGGAGCAAACAGG
rnacentral:rRNA from 1 species